rnacentral:rRNA from 1 species
UACGUAGGGUGCGAGCGUCAAUCGGAAUUACUGGGCGUAAAGCGUGCGCAGGCGGUUAUGUAAGACAGGUGUGAAAUCCCCGGGCUUAACCUGGGAAUGGCAUUUGUGACUGCAUGGCUAGAGUGUGUCAGAGGGGGGUAGAAUUCCACGUGUAGCAGUGAAAUGCGUAGAGAUGUGGAGGAAUACCGAUGGCGAAGGCAGCCCCCUGGGAUAACACUGACGCUCAUGCACGAAAGCGUGGGGAGCAAACAGG